CAAACGACUCUCGGCAACGGAUAUCUCGGCUCACGCAUCGAUGAAGAACGUAGCAAAAUGCGAUACUUGGUGUGAAUUGCAGAAUCCCGUGAACCAUCGAGUUUUUGAACGCAAGUYGCGCCCGAVGCCAUUCGGCCGAGGGCACGUCUGCCUGGGCGUCACGC
rnacentral:rRNA from 1 species